UGGGGAAUUGUUCGCAAUGGGCGCAAGCCUGACGACGCAACGCCGCGUGGGGGAUGAAGGUCUUCGGAUUGUAAACCCCUGUUGGGUGGGACGAACACUUUCGUGGUGAAUAUCCACGAGGGCUGACGGUACCACCUGAGGAAGCCACGGCUCACUACGUGCCAGCAGCCGCGGUAAUACGUAGGUGGCGAGCGUUGUCCGGAUUUACUGGGCGUAAAGAGCCCGCAGGCGGUCCGUUAAGUUUCAGGUGAAAUCUCCCGGCUCAACCGGGAGGGUGCCUGGAAAACUGGCGGACUUGAGGCAGGGAGAGGGAUGUGGAAUUCCCGGUGUAGUAGUGAAAUGCGUAGAUAUCGGGAGGAACACCAGUGGCGAAGGCGGCAUCCUGGCCCUGUCCUGACGCUCAGGGGCGAAAGCGUGGGGAGCAAA
rnacentral:rRNA from 1 species